rnacentral:rRNA from 1 species
AUUGAACGCUGGCGGCAGGCCUAACACAUGCAAGUCGAGCGGAUGAAGGGAGCUUGCUCCUGGAUUCAGCGGCGGACGGGUGAGUAAUGCCUAGGAAUCUGCCUGGUAGUGGGGGAUAACGUCCGGAAACGGGCGCUAAUACCGCAUACGUCCUGAGGGAGAAAGUGGGGGAUCUUCGGACCUCACGCUAUCAGAUGAGCCUAGGUCGGAUUAGCUAGUUGGUGGGGUAAAGGCCUACCAAGGCGACGAUCCGUAACUGGUCUGAGAGGAUGAUCAGUCACACUGGAACUGAGACACGGUCCAGACUCCUACGGGAGGCAGCAGUGGGGAAUAUUGGACAAUGGGCGAAAGCCUGAUCCAGCCAUGCCGCGUGUGUGAAGAAGGUCUUCGGAUUGUAAAGCACUUUUAGUUGGGAGGAAGGGCAGUGAGUUAAUCCCUUGCUGUUUUGACGUUACCAACAGAAUAAGCACCGGCUAACUUCGUG